AAAGAUUCCUUAAGUUUUUUGAACGCAGUGUCGGCCUCAUCUGUCCACUGGAAGGGAGGUGUUGAUUUUUUGUUCGAUGUCAACCUAUUAAGCGGCCCUG